AAUAUUGGACAAUGGGCGCAAGCCUGAUCCAGCCAUGCCGCGUGUGUGAAGAAGGCCUUCGGGUUUUAAAGCACUUUAAUUAGGGAGGAAGGGCCGUUAACGAAAACUUAACUGUUUUGACGUGACCACAAGAAUAGGCACCGGCUAACUUCGUGCCAGCAGCUGCGGUAAUACGAAGGGUGCAAGCGUUAAUCGGAAUUACUGGGCGUAAAGCGCGCGUAGGUGGUUCGUUACGUUGGAAGUGAAAGCCCCGGGCUCAACCUGGGAAUUGCUUUCAAAACGGGCGGGCUAGAGUACGGUAGAGGGUGGUGGAAUUUCCUGUGUAGCGGUGAAAUGCGUAGAUAUAGGAAGGAACAUCAGUGGCGAAGGCGACCACCUGGACUGAUACUGACACUGAGGUGCGAAAGCGUGGGGAGCAAACAGG
rnacentral:rRNA from 1 species